rnacentral:rRNA from 1 species
CAGCAGCCGCGGUAAUACGUAGGGUGCGAGCGUUGUCCGGAAUUACUGGGCGUAAAGAGCUCGUAGGCGGUUUGUCGCGUCGUUCGUGAAAUCUUGGGGCUUAACUUCAAGCGUGCGGGCGAUACGGGCAGACUUGAGUACUACAGGGGAGACUGGAAUUCCUGGUGUAGCGGUGAAAUGCGCAGAUAUCAGGAGGAACACCGGUGGCGAAGGCGGGUCUCUGGGUAGUAACUGACGCUGAGGAGCGAAAGCGUGGGGAGCGAACAGGAUUAGAUACCCGGGUAGUCCCUGUCUCUUAUAC